CGUUGCCUACCGCGGUCUUUGAAAUGAAAGCUGUCAGGCGAGAGCGGCCCCCACACACAGACAGUUUUUCCUCGGAGAAACGCACUAGAGACCUAGUUGAGACUCACGGGAUUUUGGAAAGAAAUUAGACGAUAUUAUUUUCAUUUUAGGAAAGAAACCAAACUAUUUUUGUGUUUUUUUCCGAGACACCCGAGGACAGCCACAGAGUUCCCUGGCGCGGAGAAAGUAACAUCUUCAACUGGCGACGACAGAGGGACACCACCGGAGGAGUCAUUCCAAGCAACUCUGGUAUUGUCUAGUGUCAACUUCAGAAGUCCACUCAGAGGAACACCAGACCCAUUUAAAGUUAUUAAAGACUGUCACGUCUACUGCUCCCCCUCUCCGGCGCACAGAGGGAGGGGGGCAGAACAUGAGACAGAGCUGCAUUUCAUGACAAAAUGUGAAAAAUAUAAAACAAUUAGAGAGUGUAAUUUCCCCAAAUUUGAAACCCUUAUUCAAGGUUUCAAAGACCUCUCUGGUGAGAGGCUACCCUUCCUGUUGGGGGAAAGACGCAGAGAGCUGGGGGUUGGCAGCGCACUACAUUGCUGCCUGCCAUAAGAUGAGGGACAGUGUCUGACAGACCAAUCAACCUGCACAUGUCCUCUACUGUAUGCUUAUUGUUUAAUGUAUGGUUAUUUUGACCCUUGGUUAUUGUUGUUACUGUUGUCCCGUUGACAAUUUUGAUUUAUUAUUUUCAUGUUGUAAAUAUCCAAAAUAAGCUUUGGC
rnacentral:lncRNA from 1 species